rnacentral:rRNA from 1 species
GAUGAACGCUGGCGAGAUGCCUUACACAUGCAAGUCGUACGGGGAUUUUAAUUCAAGUGGCGGACGGGUGAGUAACACGUAAGAAUUUGCCUUUAGGAGGGGGACAACAACGUGGAAACGGUUGCUAAUACCCCAUAUGCUUUCGAGUGAAAUGGAUUUUUCCGCCUAAAGAGAAGCUUGCGGCUGAUUAGCUUGUUGGUAAGGUAAGAGCUUACCAAGGCGACGAUCAGUAUCUGGUUUGAGAGGACGAUCAGACACACUGGAACUGAGACACGGUCCAGACUCCUACGGGAGGCAGCAGUGGGGAAUUUUCCGCAAUGGGCGAAAGCCUGACGGAGCAA